ensembl:lncRNA
GAAAGCCGUAACAUCUUUAUAUGAUUUCCACUCUCCAGAUGAUUUUCACUCUCUUAGUUCUGGUAACUCUUUGGAUUGUAUAUAUGUGUAUGUAUAACCAAUUCACUUUGCUGUACACCAGAAACUAACACAACAUUGUAAGUCAGCUAUGUUCACACACACACACACACACACACACACACACACACAUCUGUGAGCUAAGUAUGACCUGUGGGCUGCCAGUUUUUGAUCUCUGAUGCCUUCAGUAGUGGUUAGGUAGGUAAAAUAAAAGGGGUAGCGAGUUAUAUAUUCUAGUAAGUUGUUGCUCUUUGAGAAUGUUAAUUAUCAUUGGAUUGUAUCUUCUAACUUUCUAAGAAAGUAUAAGGAAUGGAUAAAGAAGAUGUGGUACAUAUAUACAAUGGAGUAUUGCUCAGCCAUAAAAAGAACAAAAUAAUGCCAAUUGCAGCAACAUGGAUGGACAUAGAAAUUAUCGUACUAAGUGAAGUCAGUCAUAUAAAGACAACUAUCAUAUGAAAUCACUAAUAUGCAGAAUCUAAUAAAAAAUGAUACAGAAGAACUCAUUCACAAUCCAGACACAGACUCAGAAAUUUUGAAACCAAACUUGUGGUUAUCAAAGGGGAAACAUUGGGGUGAGGGAUAAAAUGGGAGGUUGGGAUUGACAUAUACAUACUGCUAUAUAUGAAAUGGGUGAGUAACAAGGACUUAGUGUACAGCACAGGGAAAUUUACUCAGUGCUCUAUAGUGACCUACAUGGGAAAAGAAUCUGAAAGGAUUGGCUGUAUGUGUAUGUAUAACUGAUUCACUUUGUUGUAUACCAGAAACUAACACAACAUUGUAAGUCAACUGUAUUCCAAUAAAAAACACACCUGUGAACUAGGUAUGACCUAUGGGCUGCCAAUUUUGAUCUCUGAUAUGUGGCAAUCUUGGAUUUUCUAAGGACCUUCUUGAAUUAGUCUGGAACUCCUAUCCCUUUCUUCCUACCUCCAUAAUAGACUGAUGUGUCUUCCACGUUUUGGUUUCUAUUAUUAACUCUGCAUGUUCCUUAUUGUUUAUCUUUGAUACUUAACAUGUGUAAAUGCAGUAAUGCAUCUUGGGAAAACUACCUAGAAAAUUGAGCUAAAAUUUCUGCCAACUUCUAUAGCAAUUGAUCUGGAUAGAUUAUGUGGACUUGUUAGUGCUACUUCAUCAUAUCAGGUUUGUUUAUGUAGAUACACUCUCUUCUUAACCAGGCAGAUAUAAAAUAUUUAUUAUGUUUUCUCUCUAGCCCAUUAGUUGAUAUUUUAUGAAUGGAUCUAUUAUUCUUUAUCAGUCUGCAGAGAUCAGAAUACUACCUGGUAUGAUGCAGUUAUUAUGGUGUUUUCUCAUGGUGCAAAUGAGUAACUCCCUUUUGCCAAGCUAGGUGGAUAAAAUCACUAGAUGUCAUUUGGGUAUUAUUUACACUUUCUAGUGCACGACUGCAUGACUGAUGUUUUUUCCCAUCUGUGUCCUUUAAAACAUUGGCUCUAGGAGAUAUGAAGAUGUUCUUCAAGAAAAAGGUUCUGUGUCCAGUACGUUGGGUAAAUACUGCGUAUCCUGUAGCCCUCUAGAAGAGUUACAAUGUGUAUUUGGUUGGGGGAAGAAGUCCUGUAGGAAUGAAGUAGUUCAUUUUGUUUAAUCCAAAUAUUUGUUCAUUUUUCUGUAAACUACUUAUUGAGAAUCUGCUUACCCCCAAGAUACACUGUCCUCAUAGAAUUUAUGUUCUGGUGACAAAAACUGAUAAUAAAGAAUAGAUACUAAUUCCUAAUAGAUUGUGAGAAGUACCAGGAAAGAACUAAAGAGGAAACUAUGAUAGAGAAUAACAAGGGCAUAUAUUGAACUUGAGUGGUAGGUAGGGCCUUUCUAACGGGCAGAUAUAAAAUAUUUAUUAUGUUUUCUCUCUAGCCCAUUAGUUGAUAUUUUAUGAAUGGAUCUAUUAUUCUUUAUCAGUCUGAGAUCUAAAGACUGAGAAAGAGCUGGGUCUCUAGUCCCCCCCCCCCUUUUUUUUUUAAAUUAUGGCUGCAUCUGUGGCAUGUGGACGAUCCCAGGCUAGGGGUCAAACUGGAGCUACAGCUGAGGCCUAUGCCACAACCACUGCAUCACCAGAUCCGAGCCACAUUUGUAUCCUAUGUGGGAGCUUCCGGCAAUGCCGAAAUCUUAACCCACUGAGUGAUGCCAGGGAUUGAACCUGCAUCCUCACAGAGACAACGUGGGGUCCUUAACCUGCUGAGCCACAAUGGGAACUCCUCCAGUUACUUCUUUAACCUAACAAAAUAACUGUGUUAUUAAGAAAAGCUUAUUGUGAGCAUUGUGUAACUUAAGAUGGCAGGGAAAUACAGUGUUAAGGUUGGGAGGGCAGUGCUGUCCCAGUAGGGGCCAUGUGGAAAUAUGUGUGUGUGCUUUGUGUUGUCACAGUGACUGGUCAGUGCCACUGGCCUUUAAUGUCUGGGGGCCAGGGAUGUUGACUGUAGUAUUAUCUUGCCUGGAAUAAUCAUAGCACCCUUACUGAGAAGUACUGUUGAAUCUUUUCGAUGGUAAGAGUUAAUAUGACAAUUGAGAAAUCCUAGUAUCCAAAGGGUUAUGUCUUUCCUGAAAAACUCAGACAUCUGGAAGACAUUCUCUAAAGCUUCUGGCUAUGAGGUUUUUCUGUUCUGUAGUGUAAGGUGUGAAUCUAGGACUCCUUUUCAGUACCAACCAAUUAGUAGAACAUUUGAGUAUUGAUGUUGGAAAAUGCCGAACAUCAUUUGUUUAGCAUAGAAGAAAUGAAACUAGAACCUUAUCUAGUGUGCAUAAAAAUCCAGAGAUGAUUGAAAAACUGUUCUGUUGCAAAAGAAUGGAAGCAACAGGAGGUCUAAUCAUUGGAGAUUCCCAGGCUAGGGGUCUAAUCGGAGUUGUAGCCAUCAGCCUACGCCAGAGCCAUGGCAACGCGGGAUCUGAUCCGCGUCUGUGACCUACACCACAGCUCAUGGCAACUACGGAUCCUCGACCCACUGAGCAAGGCCAGGGAUCAAACCCGCAACCUGAUGGUUUGUAGUUGGAUUUGUUAACCACUGCACCACAACGGGAACUCCCAGAAUGUGCCUUUUUUAAAACAAUGUUUUUUUUUUAAUGAAGAAGUUAUAAUUGAGUUAUCCAUAGGUCAUAAUUGCUUUGAUUCACGUCACAUGGAAAGUGUCUUUGCAGAGUGACCACAGCCUUUAGAGACUUCAUGUCCAUUUUUAGUGGUUUCUCCAAAUCUAAGGUGAGGGUCUCUCAAAAUGAUAUGGGCAUUAUCUAUUGUCCACUUUUUAAAUUGAGAAGACUGACUUUUAUGGUAUCCUAUUUUAAAUUCUGUUUAGGUUCCUUGUUUUUUUCUUCCUUUUUAAAAGUUUCUUUACAUUCACGUGGAUGAAUAUUGAAUGGUAUAGAUGAUGUUUUUUGACGGGAUGACUUGAUCAAGAUGGACAAUGAUUGCCUUUUGGGUGUAUAGCAAUAAAAUUGUUUAAGAGGAAAAAACCUAGUAUCCUGAAAAUGAUUUCUUUGACAGUGAUAAUCAGAGUUCUAGGGAGAAAGCUAAAAGUUCUUGGACUUUGUUUUUGUCUUGUCCAUUUGGCUCAGAAUUUUACCAUUUUGUCAUGUUGCCCAUGGUCUCUGGAGAGAAAGGAUGAAAUAUUUAGCUCGUUGAAUCUCUUAAUAUGUUGUGUGUUUAAAGGAAAUGAACAGUCUGUAGAAAAUUUUAAAAUGUCUGGCAAGAUAGGCAUUUCAGUAAUUUAAAGCUGUUGGUGGAUUCUAUUUUAUUCCUUUUAACAUAGAGUCCAUUGUAGUAAAGGUGGAGAAAAUAAUUGUGAUAAUGUGUGGACGUUUCUAUCAUAGUUUUUCAGUGUCUCUAACACAUACCAAAGAACUCAAUAAAUGUUAGUUCCUGUCUUUUUUUUUCUUUGAAAACCUUGUCUUUUGUUGAAAAUGUGAAACAAGCACUCCUAGGAUAAUAUUACAUAAUUUCUACAGUUGUAUUUUUUGUCACAAUUCAGGAAAAACAUUUGCAUUAUACCAAAAA